GAUGAAGAACGCAGCGAAAUGCGAUAAGUAAUGUGAAUUGCAGAAUUCAGUGAAUCAUCGAAUCUUUGAACGCACAUUGCGCCCCCUGGUAUUCCGGGGGGCAUGCCUGUUCGAGCGUCAUUUCACCACUCAAGCCUCGCUUGGUAUUGGGCAACGCGGUCCGCCGCGUGCCUCAAAUCGACCGGCUGGGUCUUCUGUCCCCUAAGCGUUGUGGGAACUAUUCGCUAAAGGGUGUUCGGGAGGCUACGCCGUAAAACAACCCCAUUUCUAAGGUUGACCUCGGAUCAGGUAGGGAUACCCGCUGAACUUAAGCAUAUCAAUAAGCGGAGGA
rnacentral:misc_RNA from 1 species